rnacentral:rRNA from 1 species
AACUUUUAACAACGGAUCUCUUGGUUCUCGCAUCGAUGAAGAACGUAGCAAAGUGCGAUAACUAGUGUGAAUUGCAUAUCCAGUGAAUCAUCGAGUCUUUGAACGCAACUUGCGCUCCCUGGUAUUCCAGGGAGCACGCCUGUUUCAGUA